GACGAACGCUGGCGGCGUGCUUAACACAUGCAAGUCGAACAGAAAGGCCCUGCUUUUGUGGGGUGCUCGAGUGGCGAACGGGUGAGUAACACGUGAGUAACCUGCCCUUGACUUUGGGAUAACUUCAGGAAACUGGGGCUAAUACCGGAUAGGAGCUCCUGCUGCAUGGUGGGGGUUGGAAAGUUUCGGCGGUUGGGGAUGGACUCGCGGCUUAUCAGCUUGUUGGUGGGGUAGUGGCUUACCAAGGCUUUGACGGGUAGCCGGCCUGAGAGGGUGACCGGCCACAUUGGGACUGAGAUACGGCCCAGACUCCUACGGGAGGCAGCAGUGGGGAAUAUUGCACAAUAGGCGGAAGCCUGAUGCAGCAACGCCGCGUGCGGGAUGACGGCCUUCGGGUUGUAAACCGCUUUCGCCUGUGACGAAGCGUGAGUGACGGUAAUGGGUAAAGAAGCACCGGCUAACUACGUG
rnacentral:rRNA from 1 species